GAUGAACGCUGGCGGCGUGCCUAAUACAUGCAAGUCGAGCGAACAGACGAGGAGCUUGCUCCUCUGACGUUAGCGGCGGACGGGUGAGUAACACGUGGAUAACCUACCUAUAAGACUGGGAUAACUUCGGGAAACCGGAGCUAAUACCGGAUAAUAUAUUGAACCGCAUGGUUCAAUAGUGAAAGACGGUUUUGCUGUCACUUAUAGAUGGAUCCGCGCCGCAUUAGCUAGUUGGUAAGGUAACGGCUUACCAAGGCAACGAUGCGUAGCCGACCUGAGAGGGUGAUCGGCCACACUGGAACUGAGACACGGUACAGACUCCUACGGGAAGAAGCAGUAGGGAAUCUUACGCAAUGGGCGAAAGCCUGACGGAGCAACGCCGCGUGAGUGAUGAAGGUCUUCGGAUCGUAAAACUAUGUUAUUAGGGAAGAACAAAUGUGUAAGUAACUAUGCACGUCUUGACGGUACCUAAUCAGAAAGCCACGGCUAACUACGCG
rnacentral:rRNA from 1 species